rnacentral:rRNA from 1 species
CAGCCGCCGCGGGAAUACGUAGGUGGCAAGCGUUGUCCGGAAUUAUUGGGCGUAAAGGGCUCGCAGGCGGUUUCUUAAGUCUGAUGUGAAAGCCCCCGGCUCAACCGGGGAGGGUCAUUGGAAACUGGGAAACUUGAGUGCAGAAGAGGAGAGUGGAAUUCCACGUGUAGCGGUGAAAUGCGUAGAAAUGUGGAGGAACACCAGUGGCGAAGGCGACUCUCUGGUCUGUAACUGACGCUGAGGAGCGAAAGCGUGGGGAGCGAACAGGAUUAGAUACCCGUGUAGUCCCUGUCUCUUAUAC